ACAACCCUGGGAGAGGGUGCCAUUCACAUAGACUAUAAUUGAAUGGCGCCACUAGGGUUGUGC
rnacentral:pre_miRNA from 1 species